rnacentral:rRNA from 1 species
CGAAAGCGCGCUCGCAUCGCGACCCCAGGUCAGGCGGGAUUACCCGCU